CCCGGACAGAACAAAGAAGACCCGUUAGCACAGCAGCAAUCCCAAGUGGGGAUGAGUCCAAGGGCUCCGGACUUAUUCCCUGAGACGCUAAGGCUCAACUUCUGGGUCAUGCUAAUCUUCUCCAUCAUUUCCACUUUAGGAUAUUGCCACGGUUUCUACGGGACUGAACAAAGGGGGACCCACACAGGAAUGAAAACUUAAAACAAAACAGCCACUAAGGAAGGCGCAGAGGGACUUCCUUUCGGCCCGAAACAGUAUCUGUGCUGCCAAAGCUCCACCAGCAGAGAACAGAGAAGGGGAGAAGAGGAAAAGCAGCUGGACGUCGGGGACUGCGGUUUGACGUCGGAGAGAAGCAGCUUGACUUCAGAGGGACAGCUUGACCGCUUUGCUUUGGAGAGGAGUCUGGCUGGGGAUGGCUGGACUCCAGGGGAAGAUCGUCUUCCUGUUCCAUCCCUUUUCCAGCUCCCCUCCCACUGAGAGCCACUUUCAUUGGCAAUAAAAUCCUCCAUAUUCACCACCCUUCAAUUCGUUCAUGCGACCUGAUUUUUCCUGGAUGCCAAACAAGAGCCCAGGUGCCACAGGUGUGGAUACUAAAGGCUGUCACACUGACCCUUUGCCCUUGCUGGCAGAGAGCAACCACUUCAUGCAAAAAGGCAGAGGGCCCACUGAGGUAUUUAACACUUAAGCUGUCCGUGGACAGCCAAGCUAAAAGAACACUGUAACACACUCCCUCUGGGGCUUCUGGGGUCCCUGGUAUUCCUGACGAGACACUGUCAUGGGGCCUGCAGGGAGUUUUGCUCCUGCCAACACCCAAAAGCACUCUUUCUGGCUCCUGCACCCGCUCACCUGCGUGCUUCCCCUUCCCUCAAGGGCUUGAGAGCUGCAGGCUGAGUAAGUAGGCACCCUUGUCACGAGGUCCAAAAAGGGAUCAAGGAAAAUUUCCUGUUUCAGUGCUUUGGCAAAAACUUGAGUCAAUGAUACAGAAAAGUUAUGAGAGUUGAAAUCCUUGUCUAGUUCCCACUCAUAAUUCACUGAUUUUUAUUUCUGUAGUUUAUAAUCUGAGGUUAAUUCUAUCCAAUAAUAUUUUCAUUGUAGUAAUUGGGUAAUUUUUAUAUUUAGAUAUUGCUUUUGGUUUCUUUUUUGUAACGUCCAGUUCUCCAUUUUUUUGGUACAUAUAAAUAAAUAUAAUAACUCUUUUAAUGUUAUUAUUUGAUAAUUUAAUCAUCUCUGUCAAUUCUAUGUUUCUAUUGACUAUUUCCCCCCCAAUCGUAAGUCUAAUUUUCUUGUUUGUAUGUGCAGUAGUUAAAAAAUUCAAAUUAAAAAUAUUGCAAAUUUCUGGCCAGGUGUGGUGGCUCAUGCUUGUAACCCCAGCAUUUUGGGAGGUGGAGGCAGGCAAAUCACUUGAGGUCUGGAGUUCUCCAGCCUGGCCAACAAGGUGAAACCUGUCUCUACUAAAAAUACAAUUAG
rnacentral:lncRNA from 1 species